UGUGGGAGUGUGAAGGGGAGUGUCAGUGUGCCAGCCCUGGGUUCUGCCUAUGUGUUAGUGAGGGCUUGUGUGUCCAGGCUGUGUGUUGGGAGUGGAGUGUGGCUGUGUGUGCAUCUGGUUGUCUUUGUGUCCAGUUUGUGGGUCAGUGGAUCAGGGAGUGGCUGUGGGUUGGGGAAGGUGUGGUGUGCAGGCUGUGUUUGUGCAUAUGUUUCUCUGUGUGUGCCUGAAUGUCUCCGUGUACCGGUUGUGUUUCCACUUCCUGUAUUACGGUCCGCAUGUGUGUGCUGCGUGUAUAGAUGGCAGGCUGCGUGUGUGCGGGUCCGUGUUCCAGUCCCGGUCCAGGCUUGCGUGUCCAGCAGGGGUCCUGGACGCAUCGUCGCCACCUCCACCUCGCGCCUGUCCGUUUGUCCGCGCGUCCACUUAGGGAGGAGCGGGGCGGAGGAGAAGGGAAGGGGAGAGGAGGGGGGUCUCUCCACCUCUCCACCC
rnacentral:lncRNA from 10 species